rnacentral:misc_RNA from 1 species
AAAAAUAUUUGGUCUCAUGCCAAAUUAACACUUGUGUGCACCAUUGUCUGUAUUUGGUAGUUCGAGUGCGUUGAUGGAGCUCAACACUCCGCAACGCCUACCCUUGCGGGCAACUGCUUGGGUUGGGCUGCCGCCUUUUUUGAUAAACCAUUUGUUUGUUUUGUUUUUGUCUGAACGAAGAGUUAGUCUUUUUUGAUUAAUGAUUUGUAAA